AACGUAGGAGGCAAGCGUUAUCCGGAGUUACUGGGCGUAAAGCGUGCGUAGGCGGAUGGGUAAGUGGGUGGUGAAAGCGCCGGGCUAAACCGGGCGAGGUCCAUUCAGACUGCCUAUCUAGAGGCGGAUAGAGGGGUGCGGAAUUCCGGGUGUAGCGGUGAAAUGUGUAGAGAUCCGGAGGAACACCAGUGGUGCAAACGGCGCCCUGGGUCCGAACUGACGCUGAGGCACGAAAGCGUGGGGAGCGAACGGG
rnacentral:rRNA from 1 species